ACCUGCACAAACUUCUUUAUCCUCUCAAUCAGUCCGGACUCCUCAAAAUGCUCGAGGAGGUCUUGGGGGUCGACCAACAGAAACGCGGUACCUGGUCGAAUGACAAGCGGUCGCCGUUACUCGACCGCACGCAGAAUUAAACCAGUUUACUGGGAACAAAUGCACGUGUGUGUGCUCCGUCUGCAAGACGAGCACGUCAAAGACACACUGAGUGAAUGCUCAGUGUGGUUAAAGGUCAGGCCAGUGUAUUGUUCUUUGGGGUUAAAGGUCAGUGUACAAUGCUCAGUGGGGUUAAAGGUCAGGCCAGUGUAUUGGAGAGGGCUCAGUGAGGUUAAAGGUCAGGCCAGUGUAUUGGAGAGGGCUCAGUGGGGUUAAAGGUCAGACCAGUGUAUUGGAGAGGGCUCAGUGGGGUUAAAGGUCAGGCCAGUGUAUUGGAGAGGGCUCAGUGGGGUUAAAGGUCAGGCCAGUGUAUUGGAGAGGGCUCAGUGGGGUUAAAGGUCAGGCCAGUGUAUUGGAGAGGGCUCAGUGAGGUUAAAGGUCAGACCAGUGUAUUGGAGAGGGCUCAGCGGGGUUAAAGGUCAGACCAGUGUAUUGGAGAGGGCUCAGCGGGGUUAAAGGUCAGGCCAGUGUACGUUGUUCUUUGGGGUUAAAGGUCAGUGUACAAUGCUCAGUGGGGUUAAAGGUCAGGCCAGUGUAUUGGAGAGGGCUCAGCGGGGUUAAAGGUCAGGCCAGUGUAUUGGAGAGGGCUCAGCGGGGUUAAAGGUCAGGCCAGUGUAUUGGAGAGGGCUUAAAGACAUGUCGGGUUUACCUGACAGAGGGAAGAUAAACGCUCCAGACUCCACACCGUCUGAAAAUCGGAUGCGGUGCUGCUGCGCGCUUAAAAUCCGGGUCGUGUCGUGGUUCUGGUGUAAAACAAAUAAAUAUCAAUAGGAGGGAAGUUGAAACUGGUCAACGUUUCACCAACUGUAGUUUUUUUUCUCCCUCGCACGCAUUUAGCGUUUAGUUAGUUGUUGGUACUAUACCUUCAAGCUAGCUCCGUCAGUUAGUCUUCACACCUGCCGAGAGCAAACUAAGACGAAGAGAGACAUAGAACCCCUACCUGGAGAGACGAGCUCACUAUAAUCGUUGUUCUCCACUGAGGAGUCGUUUCCGCGUGUGACGCCAUGACCCACAGCUCCGUGAAGAAGAGUGUAACGAGUUCUGAUGAGACCCCUCCACCUGUGUGGGGGGACCGCGGCACGAGCGCCAGGCUGUCGUGCCUACAGACGGCCACCAGAGGGCGCUGUUUCACCACUCAGCGUGUUGGCCGGAAUGCAGGUUUCUCCACAGGUGUUUUUUAUUUUUACGGUUGAUAUUUUGAGGAGACCACAGACGUUUCUUUAUUAGUUUGGAUAAUUUCAGUCGUCAGUGUUUUCUUUUUGUCUUGUAAAGCAUCUGUAUAAACAUUUUAGAUUUGAACUUGCACAAGUGUACGAUAAAAGCUCCACACCUGUCUCACGCAAACUUAUUAAAUAUGCAUGUACAACCAGUAAAAUCAAAAUGAGAAUAAAGUGUCAUUGACCCAACA